UUUUGUAUAAUGGGUCAGCGACUUACUUUUAGUAGCAAGGUUAACCGUAUAGGGGAGCCGUAGGGAAACCGAGUCUUAACUGGGCGUUGCAGUUGCUAGGAGUAGACCCGAAACCGAGUGAUCUAGCCAUGGGCAGGUUGAAGAUUGAGUAACAUCAAUUGGAGGACCGAACCGACUAAUGUUGAAAAAUUAGCGGAUGACUUGUGGCUAGGGGUGAAAGGCCAAUCAAACUCGGAGAUAGCUGGUUCUCCCCGA
rnacentral:rRNA from 1 species